GUGGAGUUCAGCUUCACAGUUCUGAAAUUACCUCUUUGGAAAUACAUGUUACUUCAGAAGGUAAAGAUUAAGUGAGAGCUGUGGUGUUCCUUGGUCAUCAUGCCUACUGAGGAGGAGGAGAACUCUGGGCAACCUGUGUGGCAAUCCGUCCUGCUGUUUAGUUGUAAGGGAAUGAUCGAGGGAAUCAUUGUCCUCUUGUUUCUCUGGCUGCUGAUGCAGGUGCUCUUCACAAAACAGCAUGAAGUCCACUUGCAGAUUCUGCUGAGUGUGGGUUUGGUGGUCCUGUGUUUUUCCCUUAUCUUGGGCUGCAUCAUUUGUUGGUUAAAGACCAGACACAAACCACCCGAAGACAAAAACCCUCCUCCUGAUUCUGUGGAUCAUGUGACUGUGGCUUUGAGUCCUGCCCCUUUAUCUGGAACCACAUUUACCAAAUUGCAGUGUGAGGAGCUGGAAGGAUCCAUUCAAGACUAUCCAUCUGCUUUCGAGAGCUCUACACCAUCAGAUGAAGAGUUGACUGCUGUCUCUGAGGUUAACAAGUCAUGCUUCCAAAUGAGACGACUCAGUUCACCAUCAGUCUCCUCUUCUCUAUUCAAGCCCAUGGCCAGUGGCCGCUCCUCUCUCCCCUCUUUCCCAAGACUUGGUCUUCUCACAAAGACCCGGAAGGUUCUGGAACAUCACUGCACUGUGGCUGGAGAUAGUUACUCGUUUAGUGAACACAGAAGGCUCACUAUUCCCAACCCACGAUCACCCUGUGCCCUUUCUCCACUUCAAACCCAAGGUCUUCUACAGGACGAACCUUUAAUUCCUAACUAUGGUUCAAAUUCUUGCAGUGAGACCUCAGAUCCCUUCUUGCACUUUACCCUGACCUUCUCUUCAACACAGAACACACUCACUGUAUCAAUAGUGGGUAUAACCGGUGCAGUCCAUUGUCUAGAAGAAGUGACUGUCCAGGCCAAGCUGCCCCCACUUUGCCCUGGACCUCUGGAUAUAACUGCCCAGGAUUACAACCUAAGCUCUGGACUCUAUAAAAAGAACUUGGUGAUCAAUGUUGGAUCUCUAGAGGGGCUUAAGGGCUGCAUGCUCAGACUGGCUAUCUUCAUGCAGGACAAUCAAAAGACAUCCCUAUUUGAGGAGCUGGAAGUUUGCUGUGGUAGUCUGGACUGGACACCAGACAGGCCUGUAAGCUGCAUUAGAGAACUAAGGCAAGUCGUGGACAAGUCCAAGAAGGACACUUCAUAGCUCUUGCUACGAGACUAUACUGUCUUAAACACGAACCCAAACAUUUCAAAGACCUAC
rnacentral:lncRNA from 1 species